CAAGCUGUUGCAGUCUGUUCCACAUCGAGAGUGAGUCCCACAGGACACACGAGAGCACAAGGAAUUUCAUCGAAUAGAGCGAUGUUGUUUGGUGUAGUACCGUUAGAGCGCGGCGCUUCAUAACAAUCUCCGCGUCUCGCGUGUGUGUACUGUGUCAAGAGUGGAUCCCGCAGCAUGCGAAAUCUCGCGGAAUGGAGCAGAGUGGAGGCAACGGUAUGUGGUUUCGCUUUCGUACCACAUCUCGCGCGUAGUGUCGGUAUGAAGUUGUCUGUGCGUCCUUUCGGAGUCCAUAUUCUCUAGCGUAUAUCACAAGCGCCGUGUACGUUGACGGGUAGUACAAUCGUAGUUCGCGUUAUAUUUAAUCGUGGCUUCAUGUAUCGCGUGUGCAACAAGUGUCGGGUGUGCCGUAACAAGUAUCAGGAGUGUCGUAAGAAAUGUCGGGAGUGCCGUAAGAAGUGACGGGCGAUUAUCGUAUUGUGUCAAUUAUCACGCGAAUUCUGAUCGGCGGUUCUUUUUCAUUAGUGUUGUGUAUUCACGCGCGCAAAGUUAACCUAGCAUGGAGCAGAACACAAGCAGAGCUGAAUGACGAGAUGAACGAGAUUGGUGCAUCGACUGGUCAACUUGUCAACAACUCCGCUGCUGCGCAUGAUGCCGAUGGAUUUGAGGUUUUAUUGAUCCGCACGAGGACAUGUCCUCUUUAAACGAAUAGGAAUCGAAGAGUUUGAAGCAGAUUAAAAAGGAAAAAUGUAUACCUUGUCUGAUCUUCAUCAUUAUGGCUGCUAUUACUGCUGCUGUUUGGACUGCCAUCCCUC
rnacentral:lncRNA from 1 species